GUUGCUGCUUCUACUUUUAUUUCCUAACUCCUCUUCCUCCUUUAGCAUAAAAUCAAUGUUUUCUCAGUAAGUGUGAAUUAGAAGCAGCUCUACAGAGUUUUCACUUGAAAGUUAGUCAAAUAUUUAUGAAAUGUUAAAUUAUCGAGACGUUUUUCAUGACAACCGGAAGUAGCGUCUACUGGUGCUGGGUCACUUCCUGUUUUUGCGGGUCUCAGACAUAAUAAGGAAAAAUGGCUCUUAUUUUCUCAACAAGGUUGCUGAAUUUGCCAGCCUUUUCAUUCGCUGAUGCGGAGACAAUCGCAGUGGUGAAUUCAUGAACAAAUAAACUGGACAAGGGGUAAACCUCAGACUGAUCAUCUUUGAGACGCUGGAGAACACCAUUGGUAAAAUGUUUCAUCUCCUACAUGCAUGUUGUCAUGAUUUGUUUCUGCAUUUCUUAGAGACGUUGUCUUUCUUUUAGAGGAUAGAGGACCUGUGGAGGAGGAGGAAAGGAGGAAGAGGAUGCAGGUGGUGGAGAGGUUUCAGACGGCUCCUUCUGAGGAAAUAGCAGCUCUCUGUGGAUCCAGGGUGAGACACUUACUGAAGUAAACCUGGAGUAAUUCUGUUUGGUUUCUAAGGUGAAGGUUUAUCUGAGUGUAAAACUGUUUCUGGUUCUGAUUUACUGUAAUCAGGUCAUCAGUUGGUACCAGAACCUCAAUCUAAAAAUGCACCUUUUUGGAAGAUCUUGGUCAGACUGGAAUCUUUGUGAGCAAACAGAUGUACAGUUCUAGUGGUUCUGGAUGGAAACAUGUCAAACCACCAAACUAACCGAUGGUUCUGUCUUCUUUAUCAUCUUUGUAACAUUGUCAGGAUAAAGUUGUUCAUAAUGCAUGUAAUGUGUUUCAAUGAUGUCUGCAGAUGUUAAAGAAGAGGCUCAAGAAGAACAGAGUCCUUGACUGACAAAUAACUUGUACAAAAUAAACACAGAACGCCUUCUGUUAUCAUC